rnacentral:lncRNA from 1 species
GAGGGGCGCGCAGGCCAGCCGCCCGAGCCGCCGGCUCCCCCGGCUGUCCAGCCCUACCUCCUCCGCUGCCCGCUCUCGUGGCGCCGCCGAAGUCGCCGCCUGGCUGAGCUAACUCGGCUCCUCUGCCCCCUCCCUCGCUCGCCCGUUCGCCCGCCCGCCGCCUCCUCCCUCUUUCCCUGCCUCUCCGCAUGGCGGCGACCGCGGCUCCUCCUCCACUCAAGAUGGCGAAACCUCGGCCGCCGCGGCUAUAUUCGCCGCGGCGUCACUGCCUUCCUGGCCUGGUGGUGAGAGGAAGUCGGGCCGCGAAAGCUUCCUGAGGAGAAAAUGGAGGGCCCUUCUCUCACACCGACGAGAAAAGUUCGAGGGGGAAAUACGAGUUCCUUUCUGAAGGGACAGGACGGCUGCUUUUCCACAGCCGCGACGUGAUUGAGAAAUGGUGGCUGGCAAGGGUAGGCCUGCCUUCGCCCCUCCAAAGUAAAAAUCGGGAGUUGAGACCAGAGGAACAUCUCUUUAUUACAUGACUAAGGAUAUGUUUUGAAAACUGGCCCCCGGGCAGCUGCUCGGGGACAGGAAGCUGACCUGACUUCUCCAGCUGGCCGGGGAGGCUGAUGCCGGGCCUAAGGGGCCGCGUCCGAGCCUCUCGGGGCGCGCCUCCAUGCAGGAAGGCGCGGAACUAGCGACCCGGAGACGCCGGGCGCGCGUCUGAGUGUGGGGGCAGGAAGGGGGGCCGACCGGGCCCGGAGGCCGCACCAGGCAGGAGGGAGGACUCCAGAGAGUGCGCGGGGGGCGCUGCGCGGUGGGACGGGGCGAGCCUGUAGGGCGCGCCUGGCGGCGGGUAGGCUCCGGGCUUGAGGGUGCGCCUGGGGGCGCUGGUUGUGGGGGAAGGCACCGGGCUUGAGGGUGCACCUGGGCGGGGGAAGUCUUCGGGCAUGAGGGCGCGCCUGCGGGUGGUAUGGGGGGGUACACCGAGCUUGAGGGUGCGCCCGGGGGGCUCUCAUGUGAAGGGUACCAGGCUUGAGGGCGCCCCUGCGGGGGGCGCAGAGGCACCGAGCUUGAGGGUGCGCCUCGGGGGUCUGCGGGGGGAAGGCACCGGACUUGAGCGUGCGCCGGGAGAGGACGGCGGGGGACCGGACUGUGAGGGCGUAUCUUGGGGGACCUGUCUAGGAGGAACCGGGAGGUGAAGGCACAACUGGGGGUGAGGCGGGGGCAGGGGCCGGGCUGUGAGAGUGCGACUGAGGGGGGAUUACUCCGGAGAGCACGGAGCUGGGGGCGUUGCGCAGGUGGAGUGGGGAGGCCUGGUGGAGAGGGUAGCAAACCGAGAGAGCGCACCGGGGUGGUGGGGGGAGAAGCUGGACUGUAAGGUGAAGAGUUAGUAGGGCGCAACCGUCUUCUCCUGCCCUCGAAGGGCAAGACUGAAGAAAGUAGGGGCGGAGGAGGCCGGGCCCUCCACUAAAGGGAGGGAAGCUAGUGAAGCGUCAGUUAUAAUAGAAAUAGGAAUUCAGUAAGGAAAUGGAGAAGCUUAAGGCAAAGGGUGACUCUCCGGCCUGACCCUCACUAUGAAGAUAUUUAUGUAUGUUCCCAUAAUACUUUUCAGAUCCCAAUGUCUGUGUUUAUCCUUGACAGAAAUAAUAGAACUGCUGUCUUCUUCCAAGUUAAACAAAACUUUGGAGCUAAAAGCUAGCUAGGUCAAGAGAAACAAAAUCUAAUCCUCACCCAAUUGAGAGACUGAAUAUACAAAGAAUGGCCAAACCUAACCAUGACCUCCUACCCAUAACCUCUUCAGUAAUCGGCCAGAAGGGUCAGGACUUAAUCUUUAACCGGCAGCUUCCCUAUUUCUUGCCCCUGCUUCCAGCUCUGGGCCAAUCAGAGAAAGCCAAAUGUGCUCCUCACACCAAUCGCGUAAGAAGCCCUGCUUCUAGUAUAGCCCUCCUCCAACUUCCCGAUGCCAACAUCCUCCAAUCAGAGCCAACCUGAAGUUUCUCCCUUUUUUCAGUAUAUGUAAAGCUUUUCCACUCCCCUGCCUGCCUAUGAGUCUGUUAAAUCAAGUGAUGGGUCGCGGCUGACUCUUGCCAGCUCUGAGUAAAUAGCCUAUUCUCAUUUGGUGGUCGUUAUUUCUACACAGCCGGUGGGAAGGUGGUGGAGAAUAGUGAAGACUAUUCUUAAGGUUAAAAAGAAGGUUCGGCUUACAUUUUUUUUUUAUUUUAAAUUUACAGCAUGGCGUCUCCAGCCCAGGUUUUAAAAUACCUUCUAAUGUAAGGAAAUAGCCCUGCACCUUGUGCCCAUCCUAGAGAGAAAAUGGUUUCUUAAUAAAAAAUGUAUGAGGCCUUUUUUGCCCCAAUAUCUUCCCAAGCAGAGGAAUGUGAAGGGGGGUUGGGCCAAGAAGUGAGUGGUAGGAAGAGAGGCCUACGGAUUUAAAACAGGCCACUGCUUGGAGGGGUGUCUUUCCUAAACCACUGAAGAAAUUGAACCAGGCAAAGGAAGGGGGUUCACACCCACAAAUAAACUAUAACCUACAAAAGGAGCCCGGGUUCACAUCCACAAAUAAAUUGUAACCUACACAAGGAGUCUGGUUGAGGUCACAAAACAAAAGCCAGGAGGCAACCAAAAGUAGAAUAUGAAAUAGGUGCUGCCUUCUCACCUAGGAAUCCUUCCAGGGCUAAAACCUUCAAAUAUUCUGCUUUUAAGGUAGUCAGAUACCCUCACAACUCAUUUACAUCAGCCCUUCUCUGUUUUCAAGUGAGAAGCAUAGAUGGUUUAGAAUUAAGCUAUGAACUCUUGGAUCUUUUCUUCCAAGUUUAGUGUUAGUGGUAGAUAGGUCUAGUCCAACUAUCUCAAUACAUUGUUUUCUCCCUAGUUAAAACAGAUUUGCAAGAAUCAUUUGUAUGACACUUUAGGAAUACAGAUAAAUUGCUAGUGCAAAUAAUAUCCUUAUAUUUAUAAAAUAUAUGUGUACUUUUAAAAAAGUUAUAUGAAUCCAAUCCUCUGGCCUUUUAGUUAGUAUUGAGUGUGAUAGUUGUGGGAGAUCUGUAGUAAAUACGGUUUCUGAAGGGUGUGCUAUCAUCCCUAAUGAACUCACCUAUUAAUUGUGGUAAAGAGUUUUUCACUUGGGCUGGGCACGGUGGCUCACGCCUGUAAUCCCAGCACUUUGGGAGGCCGAGGCAGGUGGGUCGACUGAGGUCAGGAGUUCCAGACCAGCCUAGCCAACAUGGUGAAACCCCGUCUGUACUAAAAAAAAAAAAAAGAAAAAAAAUAGCUGGGCAUGGUGGCAGGUGCCUGUAAUCCCAGCUACUUGGGAGGCUGAGGCAGGAGAAUCCCUUGAACCUGGGGAGGCGGAGGUUGCAGUGAGCCAAGAUCGUGCCAUUGCACUCCAGCCUGGGCAACAAGAGCAAAACUCCGUCUCAAAAAAAAAAAAAAAAAGAAAAAGAAAAAGAAAUGAAAAAAAAAGUUUCCCAACAUGUAUUAGCCGUUUUCAUGUUGUCUGUAUUCACCUUUGCGUCAUCACCCCUCUUCAAUUUCCUCCUGGAAUUCAAUCACAGUAAUGGGUUAUCUCAGCAUAUAUUAUUCGCCAGUCUCACAUCCUGACCUCAUUUAUUUACCUAAAAAUAACCAGAACGAAAAAAAAAUCACAGAUUAAUUUACACUUGAUUUCACUUUAACUUCAAUUUAAAAUACUUAGAAUCCAGAAUUCCUAGUAAGUUGAACCUGGAAUACGCAGACCUGUGAUAAUAUCUUAAACACUCAAAUGUUUUCAACUUGCUGAAAUGGAGUUCACACUUUUAACAUUCUGGGCUUUUUUUUUAAAAGGGACUAUAAUACUUUAACUCAAAUUACAAUCAAAUGUGUUCAUUACCUAUAAGAAAAAAAUUUUACCUAUCUCAUAUCUUCAGUGAAAUGAUUAUAUCACAUCUGGCUAAGCUUUACCAUUUGGUAUUUGCCCUCUUUCAAGUGAUUUGCAGUAUAAUACUUUGAUUUCCCAAAAUUUCAACAUACAAAGUUAUUUUCCAAAUAUGCUCAAGCAACAUCUGAUCAUCACUAACAAGACUAAAGGCUAAUAUGCCCAAGGAGCCAAGUCCCGUUUUCUUGGGACUUCAUAGCAGGUAAAAAUUGCCUUUUCAAUUUAUACACCUGAAGAAAGUGAAGCAGCAUCAGUCACUGAGGGCUUAGUAGAGAUGUCCUCAGAGAGGUGCACAUACUGCGCUGAAGUUGAUGCAUACUAAGCAGGCGUGCUUAAUCACUGAGAGGUUACAUCAGGCACAUUUUGUUGGAAUAAAUGUUCCAACCCCUGAGUAAACUCAAAUUGAAAAGUAGGAAAGUUGGCCAGCGCGGUGGCUCACACCUGUAAUCCCAGCACUUUGGGAGGCCAAGGUGGGCGGAUCACGUGAGGUCAGGAGUUCGAGACCAGCCUGGCCAACAUGGUGAAACCCCAUCUCUACUAAAAAUACAAAAAUUAGCCGGGUGUGGCAGCAUGCACCUGUAAUCCCAGCUACUUGGGAGGCUGUGGCGGAGAAUUGCUUGAACCCAGGAGGCAGAGGUUGCAGUGAGCUGAGAUUGCACCACUGCACUCCAACCUGGGUGACAGAGUAAGACUCUGUCUCAAAAAAAAAAAAAAAAAAAAAAGUGUAGGAAAGCAAUAGUACAAACGAGGAGGGGAGUGGGUGAGUUAAACACAUUUUCCCCAAACUGCCAGGUUUACUUUGCAGAAUUUGUAUUCUCUUUCACAGAUAACAUAACCCUCAUUCCCAGCACACCACAACCAAGCUAGCUAGCUGGCUCAGCUCACGGUGUCCUUCGGCCACAUCGGGACUCAGCAUGGUAUAUGUUCUGGUCAUCACCCAGAGAAUUCUAGCUAUUCAUUUUGACUCUUCAGUUUCGCUAAGAUGACUGCAUGCCAGCAAUUUUAACUUAUUUAUUAAUUUGAAAAUAAUGUGUGGCUGGGCCGGGCACAGUGGCUCACGCCUGUAAUCCCAGCACUUUGGGAGGCCGAGGCAGGCGGAUCACGAGGUCAGGAGAUCAAGACCAGCCUGACUAACAUGGUGAAACCCUGUCCCUACUAAAAAUACAAAAAAUUAGCUGGGCGUGGUGGCAUGCACCUGUAGUCCCAGCUACUAGGGAGGCUUAGGCAGGAGAAUUGCUUGAACCCAGGAGGCAGAGGUCGCAGUGAGCCAAGAUCACACCACUGCACUUCAGCCUGGGCAACAGAACGAGACUCCGUCUCAAAAAGAAAAAAAGAAAAGAAAAAAGAAAAAGAAAAUAUGUGUGGCUGGAAGACACUGAAAUCUGGAAAACAGCUAUUUAGGUAUAAAUUUACUUUGACUUACUGAGAUCAAGAAAGAACUGACAUCGUCCUCAUCUAAGAUACCUUGUUCUCCUUGGGUAUUUUCCAAGUUAGUUCAGGGGCAGUUGCCGAGGAAUAACACUGAUGGGGGUUCACACUAUGGCGAUCUUGUUGAACUGCCUGAUGUUGGUUUGUGUAAUCUGCCCCCUUUGUGCCCAAGAACCUGUGACAAGAUUCUGCUUCUGACAACCUUCUGUGCAGGGGUAGCGACAGGAGUCUGAACAAUCAUUAAGUGUCCAGCCCUGGUUUCCUGCCACUAGUCAAUCUGCAGAGACUUUUAUUGAUUCUUGAAAAUACAACUGUGAUUGUAGGUUUGGGCCCUGGGAAUGUAAUUUAUAGCUAAAGAAUGGGCAAUGUCUUCUGUCCUGAGUGCCAUGGUUGGAUUGUGUAACAUCUGUGGCUACCAGGACAAGGAAGGAACAAAGGAAGACAAAAGUAUUUCAGUGCAGAGAUCUUCUCAGUGACCCUCCUUGCUUUUCAUCUGCCUGAUGAAUUUUAAAGACUACUUUUUAUCAUAUCUCCACACCGUAAACUACCCCCUCAGUGGCUCCCAGUUUCCUUUUACUACAUCUAGUCUACACUCCAUAGACCGACUGAGACUGCCAAUAUGCCUACCCAGUCGGAUUUCCUACUCUUCCUCCCCCCAUACAUUUGCUGCUCUGGUCUCCUGAAAGGUUACAUUCCCUCACCUCUGAUUGUUUCCCUUAGAAACCCUCUCAUCUCCUUUCCUCUGGGUCUAUCUAAAUCUCACUCAGAAUCCUAGAUAUAUUACCACAAGCCCCUAUCCUCCUAUGUUUCCCAUUCCUUUGCUCCUGUGCAACCAGGGCUCAGGCUCUGGAGUCAGACAGAUUUAGGUUCAUAAUCCCAGUUCUGCCACUUAUUAACUAUUACUCCAUAAAUGUGGAAACAUUUCUCAACUCUUUUUUUUUUUUUUUUUUUUUUUGAGACGGAGUCUCGCUGUGUUGCCCGGGCUGGAGUGCAGUGGUGUGAUCUUGGCUCACUGCAACUUCUGCCUCCCAGGUUCUAGUGAUUCUCCUGCCUCAGCCUCCCAAGUAGCUGGGACUACAGGUGUGUGCCACCACACCCGGCUAAUUUUUGUGUUUUUAGUAGAGAUGGCGUUUCACCAUUUUGACCAAGCUGGUCUCAAACUCCUGACCUCAAAUGAUCCACCCUCCUUGGCUUCCCAAAGUGCUAGGAUUACAGGCGUGAGCCGCCGCGCCUGGCCAUUUCUUAACUUCUGAACCUCAAUUUUCCCAUUUAUAAAAUGGGUA